AAAAAAUGACCCACUAGACCAAAUAUGCUCUAUGUUCCAGAAACUUAGUAUUAAGCCUGCAUAAGAAGACAACACAGAUUUACUUAAGACACCGGAACUAACAGCCGAAGUGGACUCCUUGAGAUGAGCAGCAUCAUCUGAUGAGAGUCCACAAAAUGACAGAAAUAACGCCAGGG